AACGAACGCUGGCGGCAUGCCUAACACAUGCAAGUCGAACGAGACCUUCGGGUCUCGUGGCGCACGGGUGCGUAACGCGUGGGAACCUGCCCUUAGGUUCGGAAUAACUCCCCGAAAGGGGUGCUAAUACCGGAUAAUGUCUUCGGACCAAAGAUUUAUCGCCUUUGGAUGGGCCCGCGUUGGAUUAGCUAGGUGGUAGGGUAAAAGCCUACCAAGGCGACGAUCCAUAGCUGGUCUGAGAGGAUGAUCAGCCACACUGGGACUGAGACACGGCCCAGACUCCUACGGGAGGCAGAAGUGGGGAAUAUGGGACGAUGGGCGAAAGCCUGAGCCAGCAAUGCCGCGUGAGUGAUGAAGGCCUUAGGGUUGUAAAGCUCUUUUACCCGGGAUGAUAAUGACAGUACCGGGAGAAUAAGCUCCGGCUAACUCCGUG
rnacentral:rRNA from 1 species